rnacentral:rRNA from 1 species
UACGGGGGGGGCAAGCGUUGUUCGGAAUUACUGGGCGUAAAGGGCUCGUAGGCGGCCAACUAAGUCAGACGUGAAAUCCCUCGGCUUAACCGGGGAACUGCGUCUGAUACUGGAUGGCUUGAGGUUGGGAGAGGGAUGCGGAAUUCCAGGUGUAGCGGUGAAAUGCGUAGAUAUCUGGAGGAACACCGGUGGCGAAGGCGACAUCCUGGACCAAAUCUGACGCUGAGGAGCGAAAGCCAGGGGAGCAAACGGG